rnacentral:rRNA from 1 species
UUAUUGGAGAGUUUGAUCCUGGCUCAGGAUGAACGCUGGCGGCGUGCCUAAUACAUGCAAGUCGAGCGGACGGAUUGAGAGCUUGCUCUCAAGAAGUUAGCGGCGGACGGGUGAGUAACACGUGGGUAACCUGCCCAUAAGACUGGGAUAACUCCGGGAAACCGGGGCUAAUACCGGAUAACAUUUUGAACUGCAUAGUUCGAAAUUGAAAGGCGGCUUCGGCUGUCACUUAUGGAUGGACCCGCGUCGCAUUAGCUAGUUGGUGAGGUAACGGCUCACCAAGGCAACGAUGCGUAGCCGACCUGAGAGGGUGAUCGGCCACACUGGGACUGAGACACGGCCCAGACUCCUACGGGAGGCAGCAGUAGGGAAUCUUCCGCAAUGGACGAA